rnacentral:misc_RNA from 1 species
GAAAUGCGAUAAGUAAUGUGAAUUGCAGAAUUCAGUGAAUCAUCGAAUCUUUGAACGCACAUUGCGCCCGCCAGUAUUCUGGCGGGCAUGCCUGUUCGAGCGUCAUUUCAACCAUCAAGCCCCCGGCUUGUGUUGGGGACCUGCGGCUGCCCGCAGGCCCUGAAAAACAGUGGCGGGCUCGCUGUCACACCGAGCGUAGUAGCAUACAUUCUCGCUCAGGGCGUGCUACGGGUUCCGUCCGUUAAACGACCUUCAUAACCCAAGGUUGACCUCGGAUCAGGUAGGAAGACCCGUUGAACUUAAGC